AUUGAACGCUGGCGGCAUGCCUUACACAUGCAAGUCGAACGGCAGCACGGGAGCAAUCCUGGUGGCGAGUGGCGAACGGGUGAGUAAUAUAUCGGAACGUGCCCAGUCGUGGGGGAUAACGUAGCGAAAGCUACGCUAAUACCGCAUACGAUCUAUGGAUGAAAGCGGGGGAUCGCAAGACCUCGCGCGAUUGGAGCGGCCGAUAUCAGAUUAGGUAGUUGGUGAGGUAAAGGCUCACCGAGCCGACGAUCUGUAGCUGGUCUGAGAGGACGACCAGCCACACUGGGACUGAGACACGGCCCAGACUCCUACGGGAGGCAGCAGUGGGGAAUUUUGGACAAUGGGCGCAAGCCUGAUCCAGCAAUGCCGCGUGCAGGAUGAAGGCCU
rnacentral:rRNA from 1 species